GUGGAACAGACCAAUGUGCCAUAUGUCUAUGCUGUUGGUGAUAUUUUGGAGGAUAAGCCAGAGCUCACUCCUGUCGCCAUACAGUCAGGCAAGCUGCUAGCUCAGAGACUUUUUGGGGCCUCUUUAGAAAAGUGUGAUUAUAUUAAUGUUCCGACUACAGUGUUUACUCCUCUGGAGUAUGGUUGCUGUGGAUUAUCUGAAGAGAAAGCUAUUGAAGUAUAUAAAAAAGAGAAUCUAGAAAUAUAUCAUACUUUGUUCUGGCCUCUUGAAUGGACAGUAGCUGGCAGAGAGAACAACACUUGUUAUGCAAAGAUAAUCUGCAAUAAAUUCGACCAUGAUCGGGUGAUAGGAUUUCAUAUUCUUGGACCAAACGCCGGUGAGGUUACCCAAGGAUUUGCAGCUGCAAUGAAAUGUGGGCUCACAAAACAGCUACUUGAUGACACCAUUGGAAUUCACCCCACAUGUGGGGAGGUGUUCACGACUUUGGAAAUCACAAAGUCGUCAGGACUAGACAUCACUCAGAAAGGCUGCUGAGGCUAGGCCUGCUGCUGUUUAGUUCUCCUUGUCAUAUUCUCAUUUCUCUCAAAGAUAAGAAUGCUCUCGGAUAAAAUGAGCCUGUGCUCAUGACAGCUGCUCUGUUACUCAGGGACCAGUGCAGGGCUGUCUUACGACACUUAGAUGAGAAAGUAGACAAGGAAAGAGGACAGCAGUGGGCAUCUGCCUUGUGGUCUUGCUGACAGCGAGAAGCAGUGGGACUGCUUCCUUGACGCCUUAGCUUGGAGCCCCGUUAUGAGGUGAGCCAAGGCUGACUCUCGCAAGCCAGGACUGAGCUUCCCUCGGAAAGACCUUUGAGUGGCACCAUUCACCUAAGUUAGCUUUUCUGGUCGCUAUUGUUUUUAUCCCCUUUGCUUUGUUGUUUCUGUGAAAAUAUAUUUUCAGUUAAGAAAUGC
rnacentral:lncRNA from 1 species